rnacentral:rRNA from 1 species
AACGAACGCUGGCGGCAUGCCUAACACAUGCAAGUCGAACGAGACCUUCGGGUCUAGUGGCGCACGGGUGCGUAACGCGUGGGAACCUGCCCUUAGGUUCGGAAUAACUCCCCGAAAGGGGUGCUAAUACCGGAUAAUGUCUUCGGACCAAAGAUUUAUCGCCUUUGGAUGGGCCCGAGUUGGAUUAGCUAGUUGGUAGGGUAAAAGCCUACCAAGGCGACGAUCCAUAACUGGUCUGAGAGGAUGAUCAGCCACACUGGGACUGAGACACGGCCCAGACUCCUACGGGAGGCAGCAGUGGGGAAUAUUGGACAAUGGGCGAAAGCAUGAUCCAGCAAUGCCGCGUGAGUGAUGAAGGCCUUAGGGUUGUAAAGCGCUUUUAACCGGGAUGAUAAUGACAGUACCGGGAGAAUAAGCCCCGGCUAACUCCGUG